UAUAAAAUGAUAUAAUGAUUAUCAAAUAAAAAUAUUUUUAUAUGGCACUAACAGAAAAUUUCACUCGAUUUUGUUAGUUUGAAAUAUCAAUUUCGUUAUUAAAUGAUAUUAAGAUUACUUUUGAAUGUCAAAGUUACAUGGACUUGGUUAAUUUUAACACAGAUAUAACGGAUCAGAUUAUCAUACCAGACUGUUGAUAUGAUAUAGUUUGAUAUAGUCUGUCGAACGAGGGGGUCCAUGACAGUGACAAUUGUGUCUGUCAUUUUAAUCCACAGGUAAACUGUAUAUUCUGUAAUUUUUUUGGUAUCGUCUGUCAAAAUCUUCCCUGACUGGUUGGACAGACUAUACAUAUAUUGUUUCUGACAGUACAUAUGUAUAGACUAUUAAAUAUCCUGUUAACGACUUAGAUAUCUGGAUGGAAUAUAAUAUGUUAAAUUGUUGAAUUUUAUAAAUUGAGUUCUUUUGAAACUUUACGAAAUCGUUAUGAAGAUAAAUCUAUUUUAAUAUAUUUUGAUGCAAUUAAUGUUUUAUUCAAGAAUAAAGUCAUUUGGAAAAUAUAAUUUUUAAACAAUAUGUUUAUGUUGUUUCCUGUAAAUAUAAGUUUUCUUUUAUUUUAUGUUAUAUGUUUAGAGAUGUUAAUAUGAGAUAAAAUAUACAGGGUGGCUCUGAAUAGGUGUCCGAUAUUUUAAAGGGAGAUUUUACAGGGUGUUCUAUAAUGCUUCGUUUUCGAGAUACAGGGUGUCGAGCGUAUUUUCACGUUAUCUGGAAAUGUCGUCACAAAAA